rnacentral:lncRNA from 1 species
AAAUGUUCUUUAUCUUACUUAGUACCACUUUUCAUGCUCAGCACCAAGGUGUGUAUACAGCUGGAUCAGAAAUCACAUAAAGUCGGGGGAGAUGUCUAACAAAGACAUUAAGGAAAAGCUAGGCAAACAUCUGUAGUUCCAGCACUUGGAAGACUGAGGCAGAAGACAGCUGUAAGCUGAAGCUAACCUGAACAAAAACAGCAAAAUUCCUGUCUCCCCACCACCACACCCUCCCCACACACAAAACAGCUAUACUAUAUACUUCAGAAAAGAUGGAAGACCAUGGAUCUAGGGAGGGCAAACUAAGACAUCAAGGUAGAAAAUGUCAUUUGUCUGAACCUUCAGUCUUGUCUUUGCAGACAGGGCCUCACUAUGUUGCACUGGCUGUCCUGGAACUGACUGUAGACUAGACUCAGAUCUGCCUGCCUCCCCAAGGCUGAGAUCAAAGGUGUUUAAAGGGUUAAAGUGCUGCUGUGAAUUUUAAAGGAACUAUAGCUGGCUGAAGAGAUACCCCAGUGGCUGCUCAUCCUGUGACCCAGGAUCAAGUCCUAGCACCUAUGUGGAUGCUAACACCAGUCUCAGAGGAUCUGACUCCCUCCUCAGGGAGCACCAGGCACCAAAGAGGUACACAGACAUGUUGGCAAACAUCCACACACAUGAAAAUAAAUUAAAAAUUAGAAGAAAAAUAUCCUACAUGUGAAAAUAAAUAAUUUUUUUUAAUCC